rnacentral:rRNA from 1 species
AGGGAGACAGGUGGUGCAUGGUUGUCGUCAGCUCGUGUCGUGAGAUGUUCGGGUUAAGUCCCGCAACGAGCGCAACCCCUACGUUUAGUUGCUAACGCGUGAAGGCGAGCACUCUAGACGAACUGCCGUUGACAAAACGGAGGAAGGUGGGGAUGACGUCAAAUCAUCAUGCCCCUUAUGUUCUGGGCUACACACGUGCUACAAUGGCCGGUACAGACGGACGCAAAGCCGCGAGGUGGAGCAAAUCCUAAAAAGCCGGUCUCAGUUCGGAUUGCAGGCUGCAAUUCGCCUGCAUGAAGUCGGAAUCGCUAGUAAUCGCAGGUCAGCAUACUGCGGUGAAUACGUUCCCGGGCCUU